ensembl:lncRNA
CCCAUGUGGCUGAACAGCGUGAGGAACAAACUGCAGAGAAAUCACUACAGCACAGUGGGGGAGUUUGUAGGCGACAUCAGGCUCAUCUUCCAAAACUGCCAAACUUUUAACAGGGCUCUAUGUGAGUAGCUACCAUUCUGACUCCCUUCGUGGUUACCUCACGUACUAAGCGUUAUCCACCUCCUUUAUCUCUGCCGUCCGCCGUUACCCAGUUUUCUCCACGCUUCAUCCCGCAACAGAGCAAAGGACUUGUCAGUUAAGUGUGUUCUUCCAUUUUUCUUCCAACUGCUGGUGCCAUUCCCGCUCGGGAAGAUAGCUAUGAGGGACAUUCUAUGUUAUAUACUGUACACAAAUUCACACUGUACACUGAUAUUACAGAUCUUACUCACGCUCCCACUGUGCAUCACCGCGCUUUGUCAUUUGACAAUAAAGUACCAUGAGUGUAUGAAGAGAAGAAGUUCACAGAGGCGGUGAAGCUCCUGCUCUCCCUCAUGACAGCAAAGAUCUCUCCACACAGCUUCUGGAUGACUCUGCUCAUAGACUCUCUGCCCUUACUGGAGCAAAAAAAGGUACGCACACGCACUCUACACUUGCUUUAUACACUUGUUUUCUCUGCAGUUGAUGAUGAUGGGGUUGUGCACGUGUGCUGGGAAAAUACUGGGAAAGUCAAUCCUGGGUUUAAAGGGUGAACAGAAAACUGGAUCAGAUUAUUUUUUUAUGUGUGUAUGAGAGUCUUAUUCAAACUUUUACACAUGCUCAAUGUAUUUGAUAUAUAUAUUUUUUUAAAGAAAAUGUUUAAAAUAG